CCGACCAUAGCUCAGUUGGAAGAGCGCAUGACUGUAAAGGUCCUAUAACCGAAAUCAUGAGGUCCCCAGUUCGAACCUGGGUGGUCGGA